CCCAGGGGUAUCUGCAGUCUCACUGUGGCAGAUAAUCACCCACCUGAUGCUGCCCGGCCUGAGCAGGGUACCGUGGCUGCAUCCUUCCACACGAGCCAGUGCCAAUCCAGCUGCUGACCACUUGUGCUGACAGCUAGAGAAGCAUGGAGGGGGAGAACCCCUAAGGGUUGGAGGAUCAGAACAUGUCGCGGCGAGAAGCGGAGAGAAGCAAGCUGCUGAGUACUCAGACUGAGUCCUGCAGCCUGCUCUCCCUCACCCUUCCCCAGCACCCAGCCGAUGGGAUUAGGAUCCUAGAGAAGCAGAGACCUGGGUGCUGCCUAGGAGGAACUAUCCAGGCAGGAUUCUUGACCUCUCAUGCCAGUGUGCCAGGCAGCACCACAGCAGAAACGGCUGCUUCCUGCAGCCCAGAGUGGUGGAGAAGAGGGCCGCAGAUGUUACUGUUCUCCCCUCUCAAACGUAGCUGACAGAGGGCCAGGAGACCCAAGGAGGCACGGUGCUUCAGACGACAGGUGCAUUAGCGAAUCCUACCACUGAUGGAUACCAGAAACACCUCACAAAAAGCAGCCGGACAGCACCGUUCUUUGAAUUCGAACCUCUCAGCUGGAAUGGCAGUGAGCAGGAGGCCCCUGGGACAGCCUUCCCACCCACCCUCACAGCCCAGGCCACGGGCCACACCACAGGCCUCACCCUGGCCAGAGCCUCUCGAUCCCAGGACAACAGGGUGUCCUGAGGCCACGCCCCCCUCUUCAGCACAGCCAUGUCCCCACUGAGGCCCGUUCCCCACAGCCUUGACCCUGACACACCAAUUCCACAUUGUUCUCACCUGACUGAGCAUGGAAAGACACUUUUUAAAGAAGCCAUAUCCUCCCCAGAAGCAUGGCCUAGAUACAGCUGCGAAAGAGCCCAGAUGACUUCGGGACCCCAUGUCCUUUGAUCAUUCUCCUCAGGCCUUUGGCAACUCGUAAUUCUACCCAGCCCCUGAACAUCAUUAUAAACAAGUAGCACAGUGUAACAAAGAGAGCAGUCAGCUAGGAGACCUGGGGUCCAGCCCAGCCUGUCAUUUAGCACCUGGGUGGCCUUGGGCAAGUCCCUUCACCUCCUGAUUCUCAACUGUAAGGAAAAGAGGCAGAGAAGCAACCGUUCGGUGAUCUCUAAGUCACCUUUAAGCACAAAUGAACCAGGGCUCGAGUCUGGCUGGCCAUUAACUUGUCUAAAGAGAGAGGAAUCUAUUUGCUUAGUCAGGAAAGUUUGUUUGAAAAUGUCCCUUUUCUCUCAAAGUAAUUGUGAAACUGCAGACAGAACACCCUUUGGUGCAUAUUUAAAAUUCAGGAUCUGAGUAUUUUCCUUAAACAUGUGUCCGGGCUGCAGGAGAAGCUGGCCAUCAGCUGGGGCACUAAGCAGAGCGCCUCCCCGAGGUCUCUCCUGUGCCCUGGGCUUCUCCAGCAUGGGCUGGGUUCUGAGAGGAGGUGCCCAAAGACUGUAAAACUGAGGCACUGAGAGGUGAAGGAAAUUGCCUAACACCAGCCGGCCACAAUGAACAUGUGUAAUUUUACAACUCAGAAAAAAGAAAACCCACUGAUAUUGAGGAAAGAAGAGAUCUAUGCAAAUGGCUCUGGAAAGUCAUCUGUGCAUUGGGUUCGUCGUGAACGUGAUGCUGCAGACAGCAGCUCAGGCUAGACUGACGGGUGCAUGGGGGAGACUGAGGCGUUUGGGAGGGAAGUGACCUGGUGCUGCGAAUCCUGCCCUGGGGCUCGAGGAACUCCGCCUCCCCUAACCCUGAUCUAACUGGACGGACCCAAGCGAAACCAUGCUGACGGCACUCCCAGUUGCAGGUCUUCCAAAUAAAAUCUUUUCAGAUGAGCAGCAAACACUUUCAUAGUGUGAGUGUUCCCUAAAUGUUGCAGGGGAUAUACUAUACUAAGCAUGUAUUUGUUUUUUAUCUGAAAUUCAUAUUUAACGGAGCAUUGUGUAUUUUUAUUUGCUGAUCCCAGCGACCCUGCCUGGAGUGGAUGUGGUGGGGGCUCUGGGAUCCCCGG
rnacentral:lncRNA from 1 species